CUACUUCCCAUUUUCAGAUGUGUGCUCCAGGCCAACGACCACCGGGGUUGUGACCUGUUUCCUGCGGCCUGACCUCGCUCAGCCUCUCUCGAGUCUCAAAAACCUGGGACUGCUGCAGAAUGAGAAACGUGCCAGGCCAGAAACAACUCCGCUCCAGAGAGAGGAAAGACGCAAAGAUGAAGGUGUCGUACGUGGCCGCUUUCCUCAUCGGGCUCCUCUCCCUGGAGAGCCCCAGAGCAGCUCCAUUGGGCUCUGGUAGCGUAAACACCGGCAACGUGGGAGACGGCAGCUUUGACGACAACAGCG